AGCAAAUGACAGCACUGAGCACAGUGCACCCUUGUCAAACGAAGGCAAAAAUAGCCGGGUACUAUUUAAUUACCUGUUUCAUGGAAAUAAUUCAAAUAAAAUUAUAGUUAAACAUGACGACUGCCGCAGAAAACCGUCCCCAAGACUGUGAUGCGUGCAGGAUAGUCAGCUCAAUAGGUCUCGUUGGAAUUGGUGCUUAUCUUGCUAACACUGCUUGGAAGAAUAAGACCCUUCCUGGGAAGAUGGUUAUAUCAACAAUCUCUUUUGCAUUUGUAACCCUUGGAGUACAAAGAUACAAGAAGCAAUAUCCAUUCAAUAAGCAUGUUGAGAAGUCAUGAAAUAAAAUUAAGGAGACAA